rnacentral:rRNA from 1 species
GCGCGAAAACUUUACAAUGCUGGCAACAGCGAUAAGGGAACCUCGAGUGCCAGGUUACAAAUCUGGCUGUCGAGAUGCCUAAAAAGCAUUUCAUAGCAAGGGCCGGGCAAGACCGGUGCCAGCCGCCGCGGUAACACCGGCGGCUCGAGUGGUAACCGUUAUUAUUGGGUCUAAAGGGUCUGUAGCCGGCCGGAUAAGUCUCUUGAGAAAUCUGGCAGCUUAACUGUCAGGCUUUCAGGAGAUACUGUUUGGCUCGAGGCCGGGAGAGGUGAGAGGUACUUCAGGGGUAGGGGUGAAAUCUUGUAAUCCUUGAAGGACCACCAGUGGCGAAGGCGUAUCACCAGAACGGACCUGACGGCAAGGGAUGAAAGCUAGGGGCACGAACCG